GUCCUUGUCGCGAUCUACCCUUAUCUUGCUGUGUGUUCUGUCUAUAAUGUGAAAUGUCCGCGGAAGGCUUCCAGCGGCGGCGGCCACUCCCUCCCUUUCUGAACGGCACAAAGCAUAGCCAUCGUUUCACCACAUCAGCAUAUUGGUGGUGACUUACGGAAGAGCACCCCCUGGAGGCGAGUGUUCCUGAAGCUCCUCUUGGCCCACCCAGUUCAGCUCAGAGCCAACACCAACCUGGUGUCAUCAUCAGAAAUCUCAGAUAUUCACAUAUUAGGCAAGUCAAGCACAUGAACAGCACCUUUUAAUUACCAUU